GAUUUAAGGAUAGUGAGUGCUUAAAAAAUUUAAAAAUUAAAAAAAAGUAAAAAAUCACCUCAAUGAGGUUCGAGAAUCCGAGGUUCUAAAGAAGCACCAUAAGAUCAACCUAAAUGUCAAUGCACCCAAACAACUUUUUAUUAUAGUGGGUGCUUUUAUAUGUUUUAUACCUAUUUUUCUGUAUUUUCUAUGUACUUAUACCUAUUCCGCGUCAAGUUUAGUGGGUACUGGAGCACCCCGAAAUCCUACAUAGAUCCGCCCCUGUGUCAAUGACAUAAAGGGCAGCGCGGAGUACUAAAGCUUAUGUCAUGUGGGGUCCGGAGAAAAAACAGACUAUAAGAGUGUGGACUGAUUAUCCUAUAUAUAAUAUCUACUAUAAAGAUUAAGAGGAAUAGAGGAUAGAGGGUCUCCCUUUCAUAGAUUCGGUUGAGAUUGAUUCUCAGGAUGGAGCCCUUCUCAGAGGCGUGUGAACCGAAGUCGACUCAACUCUAGUGUUAUAAAUAAGAAGAAAUCUCCGUUCAUAUGCACCUUACAUUUCUGCUGCGGGUUGUUUUCGAGGCUUGAAGUCACGAUGUUCUGAUACAUGACAACAACUUUAUCAAUUACUCUCAGACAUACUAUUUGAAAUUCAAUGGAUAAUAAGUUCGUCUAUUUAUCCUUUUUCCCCCCUCUAAAUACCGAUAUUUUCUUUGAGAUAAGAGCCGAUCUCGUAGCACGUAUUUAACUCAAGCAUGCUGAUAUAAUUUUUAAAAAAAUAGUAGCAUAUGAUGAAAAAUUUGAUGGAUAAUAACCUCGUCUCUCUAUCAAAAGUGACAUACCGUUUAAAACUUAUUAGAUAAUAAGUCAUUCUUCUAUGUAUCCCUCUCCACUUUUUUUGUGUGAUAAAAUUUGAAUCUAACUCAAACAUCAUGAAAUGCUCAACUUUUACCACUAAACAAAAAGUGCCAGGGGCCAUCUAUCAGCAUCUUGUAAAAGGGGAAGGCUUUUAUUGCACAAAAAGUGGAAUCCUUAGCCUAACCUAACUAUAAAUGUUCCUUUUGAAUGCCAACUAGUAGCAAGGGCCCAUCAUGAAUCUAUUGUCCCUUCCAUUCAUAUUCCUAAAUAAUAUCCUUAUGAAUUACUCCUAUUAUUUUUAUUCUCUUCCUCUCAAAAUAAGUGUUCAGUUCUCAUACAUUUAUUUACAUAAGGAUUAAUUUAGUAAACUAAACACUGUAUUUAUUGAUUUCUAACGUGAUUUUUGCUGAAGUGAUACUUAUUUUGGAAUGGGAGGGGUACAUGUUAGCACUUCAAAAUUGUGGUCUCAAAUAGUUUCUUGAAAUAAUUUAGUUCACUUCACUUGGAGAACAUAAUACACAAAUGCUGAUCAAAGAACCUUUUUAACAAAUUAAGUUAAGAUGAAAGAAAUGAGAAAUGUACUAAUGUAACUACACAUAUUACCGACAUGGGUUGUGGUGUAGCGGUGGGACUACUCCAUUCUUAACCAAAGAUCUCGAAUUCGAGCUCUGAAUAUGGAGAAAAUCUUGUUGGGAGCGAUACCUCAGAAUGAGCCCCUGCAACGUGUGAUCCAGAUUAGUCGGAGCUUCAAUACGGACAUCGAACAUCAAAUGGAAAACGAAAAAAAAUUACACACAUUUAUUGAGACAGGGGCCUUUCAAAUUAUUGAUGGUUUUAGUGCUCAAAGUUGGACUGGUCUAUGGUCCAAUUCCCAGAGCAAAUAAUGAAAACUGUGUCAGAUGAAUAGAGAGAGCAAACCCUGCAUUGCAAACAGCAUUGUUUGGUUUUAUUCAUUCAAAGAGGCAUUUCUUGUUUUGAAUCCCCUAUUCUCCUUGCUGCUUAGCUAGCGUUUUGUCAUAGAUUUUAAAGCAAAUUUUAAAAAUUUAUAUAUUUAUUUGGACGUAAGUUUUUAUCGUACUCUGAAAAUCUGUCUUCAGACCAAUUUUUGUAAUUUCCAUAAAAAAGAACAGUUUCGUGCACUAAAACUAUCGCUAUGCACGAUGUUCGAAAAAAAACCCCACCACAAAGAUGUAUUGUACGCAGUCUUACCUUAUAUUUAUGCUAGAGGUUGUUUCCAAAAAUUGAUCAGAAGAAAUCUUUAAAUAUUUUCAAAUAAAAUACAUGUUCAAACGUAACUUCAAACUCUCUAAGGCAAAAUGAGAAUUUAGUGCCCCAUUUCCACCAAGGUCACACAUAGAGUCCUUGGUUAAUCUCCCAAUGCCUCUUUUUAAAAAAAUUUAUGUAUUCAUUCUGACCAACCUUUGGAAUCUGUGACAGGCUGAAAAUUAUAAACUAUAGUAAUGCAUAAAUAUUGCUUUUAUUACUAAGUUCAAAUAUGAAAUCUUACAACACAUAAAACAAAAAGAAUGGCUAAACCCAAGAUAAAGGGAUUAAACUAAGCACAGAGAAUAUUACACCACUUAACCACUUACACAAUCUGCAGCUUCUUUUGAGAGCUAUUUUCUUGUAGUAAUAUUUUAUGUUCAAAAACCUCACAGAUCCAACCCAUAUACUAGAUUCCCAUCUGUAAAGCUAGGGUAGCAGACUCGAAGCAAAUGAUGUUUAUCUUCUCUUUCUUUCUUGGCUUUAAAUGAACCAAAUCAAGGUAAACUAAACAAAAAUCAGUUUUUUUUUUUCCCCUUUUUGGUUCAUGAUGGCUUUUUGCAGUAUGUGCUACAUGGAUCAAAUAAGGUAAAGACUUUCUUGUAUUCAAUGUAUUUUUAUUCAAGUUCUUACCAGAGUUUCUUUCUGAGUUCUGACUUAAGGAGGCCCACUGUUGAAAGCUGAUGAUAUGAUAUUCACAUGUGGAUUUCUUUCUGCUUUCAAAAGUCUCUACUGUUGCAUUCAUCUGCUUCUUGAAAGAGACUGUUUUGACAAUAUAACAUU
rnacentral:lncRNA from 1 species